AGUAACUCUUACCGUUGAAUAUGGGCCAACGUUUGCUUCCCUGCCCCAUUUGUCUUCUUCUUGCCCGAGUUAUCCCUUCCCCCUUUCCUCUUUCUGCUUGUUCUCAGUUGCACCAGUUGACUUUUUCCUGCCCAAAUCAAGAAGAGCAACCAGCAAAUCGAGUUCCAAGAAGGCUGAUUAGUGGCAAGAUACAUGCCAUUUGAGAUUGCAAUGGAGCCUAGCCAAUGAUCAUCGGAGUCUUGAUGUGUGAGGAAGAUGGGAAAGGGCAAGUUCGGAACCCUUAAGGCGUCUGCAAUCUUUGUCAUGAGAGAUUCGCGGAGGUAAAGAGCUCUGUGACCAAAGGACAGAGAUUCUCGGCUGAGGUGUUAGUCGAGGGUCCCCAUCUCCAUAACUCUGCUACGGUCUUCCUUUUCUUUAAGACCGGAUCGAAUUGGGAUAUGCAAGUUACUGAACACUUAUUGGCACCCAUGAACGUUGUGAACAUGAUGAAUGUUGUUAGUUAAUUUUUCUCAUGGAUUUCAAAGCAUAUGAGAUCUGCCAGAACCAACAUAUCUACUCGGCACGACUCCUUUUCUGACAUAUCGAAAUUAAUUUGAUUAAAUUCAUGUCAUGCAAAGUCUUGUAUCGUCACUGAACUGAGUCUUAUAUUAUUGAAGGACGUCACUGAACUUAGAGUUGUUAAGACCAGGUCCAAACCGAGUCUUGUAUUGAUCUAUUUGCCAUGUCAUAUUCUACCAUCUCAUGAUUCAAUUUUAUGGUUUUUUAAGGUUGUCAAUUUGCGAGUGUCAAUGUUCAUCUCCUAGUUGCCUUGUGUUGAAGAUAUAACUGGUCAUAUAAUUGUGUGUUGUCCAUAUUUGUGUCCUUUGAUGUAAUGUAUGCUGAUUCUUUCUCUUAUGUUAAUAUUGUUGCGGUUACUUGCAAAUUGGCUGCUUUAUGAGCUUUCCAUCUGCUUAUUUUUUACUAGUGAAAGCUCUUUCGUUUUGCUACAACUUGUUUGUGUUGUGUUAUUCAUGUUCUUUGCCUGCUUAUGUGUGGAAGUUCUACUCGGAAAAGUGCAUCCGUCAUGGCUCCUAAGAGUGAGAAUAUUUUCGAGUGGACUGAUAAGACAGAGUUGGCUUUCAUUCAUAUCAUGCUUGACAAGUUGAAAAGGAUACACACGACAUCUUGGAAGCAAAAAGAUUGGAAGGAGAUGAUUGUGGAUAUGGAAAAGCAAUUUCUCGAUGAACAACUGGGCUCCCAAAAGAUCUAGCAGAAGGCAACGAGACUGAAUACCAUGUAAAAGCAGUUCACUGAACUGUUUUACCAUACUAGAGUCGGAUUGGACGAAGACACCAAUACUAUCGAGGUGAUUCCCGAUGUAUGGGAUACAUUUAUUAAGAAGAACAGGGCCUUCAAGACAUUCCGAACCAGAGGCUGCAAGCACUACAACCUGCUCAAUGAGCUUUUUAGUGCAUCAACUGCUACCAGUGCUCUACGCACCUCAUCGACCGAUCCACCGAGGACUUCUAAGGAGGAAUGGUAGGUGCUUGAUAAAUUCCUAUCAACAUCAAAGAAAAAACAGAAAUAGUCAGUCAACGUCGAAAAAGGCUCCGACGAUAGUGAUGACCCUGUCUAUGUUAAAGAGCCUAUUGUAUUUGAGUCCCGAUGUCGAGUGCACAAAAGACAUUCAUCGACAACCUCACAAUGCUGGACUGCAUGGACUUGUUCAAGGCCAGCUUCAAACCCAAGCCAAAGAUCACCCCACCGUCGUCAAAGAGAAGCAAAUAAGUUUCAAGCCUUGAGAAGCCUGAAAAGAAUAGCAUCGAGGAAGCCAUGGUGGAGUUGGAUAAAUUGAAAUCAAUAAUCUUGACUGAAUGGUAUAUAGCAGGCAUCUUAGCUUUCCUUAAUGACAAAAUGAUAAGGCUUUUCAUGUACUACACGGAAGACGCGUGAAAAGCAUAGUUACAGCAGCGUUAUGGCUCUUGAAUGAGCUCAGGAUCCAGCUUUAUGUUUAUUGAAACUUUUUCAACAAUCUCAUUUCUUUCUCUCA